GAAACAACUCACGUGCCCACCAACAGACCCAUGGAUAAACGCACGCCACGGAAGGCCGUUUAGCCAUCGAACGGAAGGAUCUCCUGACCCAUUGCUGCAGUGCGGCUGAGCCUCGAAAGAGUGCUGCGUGGUAUAAUAAGUCUGUCACUGUGUCAUCUCACUUGAAUAAGGCGUGGAUGGGGUUCUCUGAGGCCCAAGAGCCCUGGGAGCAUAAAGGAUAAGCAAGGAAGGACAGAAGGAUGGGACGGGAGGCACCCUGACCCCUAGACCCUCAAGUCUCAUCAGAUGACUGCAGUGAUCAGAUCUAUGGACAGAGCGCAAUGGACAGGGUACAUCAGCCGCUGACUUCAUCCGCUGACACACAUACUGAUGGAUGGAGACUUCCAACAGACCUAAGACUUUAAGCCUUGGUACAAGGGUUUACAUCAGACCCUUCACAGAAGAGGAAAGCCAUUUAAUCCGAGAAACUUACUAAACUUCCUACCAGACAAAAGGGAGAUUGUGUUUGUAUUCUGUUAAUUCCAA